GCCCCGGCUGCGGGGCUGCCCGCGGCGCCGCCUGAAGGGGCCUUCACGCUGCCUCAAGUUGGACCGGACCUCACAGGCAGGACCCAAAACAACAAUUCCUCUGCAGGAUUCCCUUCGCAAACCAGCCGGUGGGACCCAUGCUGGAAGGCCAGAAAACAAAUGAGAAAAAGAAGGGAUCAGAGAGGAGGACAAUCACCCGCACUUUCCUUUUCCUCCUCAUCCUUAAGGACAAUGCCAAGAGUAUGCCCCUGUAGCUUCUGGAAUGGCGCGGGCCAACCGCCUCACUCUUUGACCGUUAGCAGCACCGCUCUGGGCCAGGGUUCUGCUUCCGAGGUCAUCCCCAGCUUGGGCAGCCUUUGGCCUCCAGUGUCCAGUCGCCUUGACCUCAAACAGGCUGGACAAGCCAGGUUAGGAGAGAAAAACAAGACUUCAAGACUAGAGUAUCUCUUCAAACUGAGGAUUUUAUUAUCAAGACAGCAACUCUUUGGAGCUGGUGAGAUGGCUUAUUGGGUAAAGUGCUUGCUACCAAUCCUGGUUGUCUGAGAGCGAGUCCCGUCCUUGAUGGUGGAAGGAGAGAACUGACUCCUGCAAGUUGCCCUCUGACCUCUGUGUGUCCUCUGCAGUAGGUGCACAUUUACAGCUUUGUCUUUCUGCUUUUAUCUGGAGAGUUUGGGUUGUUGGUUGUUUUGUUUACUCUCUGCUACAUACAUCCCAGCCUUGUUUCGACCUGUAUUUUAACACUUUUAUUUCUGCAGUGUUGGGGUUGAAUCUAGAGCCUCUUGCACACUAAACGAGUGCUCUACCACUGGGCUCUAUCCCCAGCUCUGUUCCCUUUUUGAGCUAGGUUCUCAAUAAGUUGCCCAGGCAGGCAGUGAACCUGCAACCCUGUUUCAGCCUCCCAAGUAGCUAGGAUUACAGACCUAAUUUUUAACCAAUCCUUAGUCUUCAACUCUGAGCUCCUAGAGCAGUGCUUCUCAGUCUUCCUAUGGCUGCUGCGACCCUUUAAUACAGUUCCUCAUGUUGUGCUGACCCCCAACCAGAAAGUUAUUUUUGUUGCUACUUCAUUACUAUAAUUUUGCUACUAUUAUGAAACAUAAUAUAGAUAUUUUUAGAGACAGAGGUUUGCUUAAGGGGUCACGACCCACAGUUUGAGAACUGCUGUCCUGCAGGAGGGAAAGAUUCACCUUUGCAUUCUAAGAACCCAUAGUUUUCACCAUAGGAAAAACUUUAUUUGUUGGUACGGCAUCAGCUUGAAUUCAGAAGCAGAUAUGAGAAUUUAGUAGCGCAUAAAGGAGAUUUAUGAAAUUGUGAAACAAUGUGAAACUUUACUGAUGUCUUAUUUGAGAAAGUAUAUUUUUCAAAAGUGAAUAAAUUUUAAAUAUUUUAAGUCUA